rnacentral:rRNA from 1 species
CGUAACACGUAUGCAACCUACCUUACAUUGGGGGAUAGCCUUUCGAAGGGAGAUUAAUACCGCAUAAGACAGUAGCUGGGCAUCCAGUAGCUGUUAAAGAUUUAUCGAUGUAAGCUGGGCAUGCGUCCAAUUAGCUAGUUGGUGAGGUAAUGGCUCACCAAGGCAAUGAUUGGUAGGGGAACUGAGAGGUCAAUCCCCCACACUGGCACUGAGAUACGGGCCAGACUCCUACGGAAGGCAGCAG